rnacentral:rRNA from 1 species
AUUGAACGCUGGCGGCAUGCCAUACACAUGCAAGUCGAACGGUAACAGGUCUUCGGAUGCUGACGAGUGGCGAACGGGUGAGUAAUACAUCGGAACGUGCCUAGUAGUGGGGGAUAACUACUCGAAAGAGUGGCUAAUACCGCAUGAGAUCUACGGAUGAAAGCAGGGGAUCGCAAGACCUUGUGCUACUAGAGCGGCCGAUGGCAGAUUAGGUAGUUGGUGGGAUAAAAGCUUACCAAGCCGACGAUCUGUAGCUGGUCUGAGAGGACGAUCAGCCGCACUGGGACUGAGACACGGCCCAGACUCCUACGGGAGGCAGCAGUGGGGAAUUUUGGACAAUGGGCGAAAGCCUGAUCCAGCAAUGCCGCGUGCAGGAUGAAGGCCUUCGGGUUGUAAACUGCUUUUGUACGGAACGAAAAGCCCCGGGUUAAUACCCUGGGGUCAUGACGGUACCGUAAGAAUAAGCACCGGCUAACUACGUGCCAGCAGCCGCAGUAACAC